GAUACGUACGAACAACGUUUAUAUAUAUGUAGGCCCGAGCAAACUGCGCCAUGACCGGCCAGUAACUUCGCCACAGACAAGAGUACCUAACUACCUACGUGCCUGCCUGCCAUCACCAGCUAGCAUGCACGGCUGCUUCUUCCGUUCCGGGAGCCCUCGGCGUCCGCAAGCGCUCCACAGCGGCGGCGGCGUCGUCAUCACCGUCGUGUCACGAGGCGGCGAAGGUGGUGUCCGCGCCAAGAUCGUGGUGAGCAGGGGCGAGCUGGAGCGCAUCGCCGCGGGCGUGGCGUGGCGGCAGUGCAGCGGAGGCGGAGGCGGAGGCGGAGCCGCGAACGCGCCGAGCCGUCGGCACAUAGUCACGGCCGCCGUGUCGCUGGGAGGGCAGGUGGCGCGCGCGCCGCCGCGCUCCGAGCCGGAGGAGGGCGCGGGCGUUGCGCGGCUCGGCGAUGGCUGGAGGCCCGCCCUGGAUGGCAUACCAGAGGAAGCGUAGAGCGCCGUCGUCGCUGCGACUGCGAGCGAGUAAUGCUUACCAACAGGUAACUGAGAGCUCGUCCGCGGCUCUGGGAUUUCGGAAUGGCUGAGAUGCGUGCUUUCUCUUCGUGCGGCUUGCGUGUCGUUACCAGCAGGAAGUGCUGCUGCUCUGCACUCCUGAUUCUCUGUUGUAUUGUGACUCGUGAUUUAAUCAUGUUCAACUGAGAGUUUUUACCACGGUUUGUUUUAGACAAUUGUGAUAAUCCUUGGCAAUAUUGAAACAUUAAGG
rnacentral:misc_RNA from 1 species